rnacentral:rRNA from 1 species
CAGUCGCCGCGGUAAAACGGAGGGUGCAAGCGUUAAUCGGAAUUACUGGGCGUAAAGCGCACGCAGGCGGUUUGUUAAGUCAGAUGUGAAAUCCCCGAGCUUAACUUGGGAACUGCAUUUGAAACUGGCAAGCUAGAGUCUUGUAGAGGGGGGUAGAAUUCCAGGUGUAGCGGUGAAAUGCGUAGAGAUCUGGAGGAAUACCGGUGGCGAGGGCGGCCCCCUGGACAAAGACUGACGCUCAGGUGCGAAAGCGUGGGGAGCAAACAGGAUUAGAUACCCCAGUAGUCCCUGUCUCUUAUAC